UACUAUGAAUGAAUAAAAAUUUAAAACUCAAAGGACUUGGCGGUGUCUUAGACCAUUUAGGGGAACCUGUCUCGUAAUCGACAGUCCACGUUACACCUGACCUUUUUUUGUAAAGCAGUUUGUAUACCGUUGUCGUCAGGUAACUUUUUAGAAAAAUGAAGUUAGCAAUAUAAAUAAAUUAUUUGGGACGUCAAAUCAAGGUGCAGCUAAUGGAAAGGAGAGGAUGGGUUACAAUUAUUUAAUUUAUAAUUUUACGGAUAUAGUUAUAGAAAAAUUCUAUGUAAGGAGGACUUAAAAGUAAAUUGAUAUAUAAAAACAAUUUGAAUGAGGCUCUGAGACGUGU
rnacentral:rRNA from 1 species